rnacentral:rRNA from 1 species
GACGAACGCUGGCGGCGUGCUUAACACAUGCAAGUCGAACGGAAAGGCCCUGCUUUUGUGGGGUGCUCGAGUGGCGAACGGGUGAGUAACACGUGAGUAACCUGCCCUUGACUUUGGGAUAACUUCAGGAAACUGGGGCUAAUACCGGAUAGGAGCUCCUGCUGCAUGGUGGGGGUUGGAAAGUUUCGGCGGUUGGGGAUGGACUCGCGGCUUAUCAGCUUGUUGGUGGGGUAGUGGCUUACCAAGGCUUUGACGGGUAGCCGGCCUGAGAGGGUGACCGGCAACAUGGGGACUGAGAUACGGCCAAGACUCAUACGGGAGGCAGCAGUGGGGAAUAUUGCACAAUGGGCGGAGGCAUGAUGAAGCAACGCCGCGUGGGGGAUGACGGCUUUCGGGUGGUAAACCGCUUUCGCCUGUGACGAAGCGUGAGUGACGGUAAUGGGUAAAGAAGCACCGGCUAACUACGU